rnacentral:rRNA from 1 species
UACGUAGGGUGCAAGCGUUGUCCGGAAUUAUUGGGCGUAAAGAGCUCGUAGGCGGUUUGUCGCGUCGGCCGUGAAAUCUCCACGCUUAACGUGGAGCGUGCGGUCGAUACGGGCAGACUAGAGUGCUGUAGGGGAGACUGGAAUUCCUGGUGUAGCGGUGAAAUGCGCAGAUAUCAGGAGGAACACCGGUGGCGAAGGCGGGUCUCUGGGCAGUAACUGACGCUGAGGAGCGAAAGCGUGGGGAGCGAACAGG